CCAAAGAUGUUCUGGUUAGGCCACCUCGCAAUUCCAGACUGAAAUUUUGUGAGUAACAGUAAGAUGUUAUUGGCAGCAGAUGGGACUUCUGGUUUCCUUUCAUCACCUGCUUCACGGUCAAAGAAAAAAAAAAAACAAUGGUCCAGUCAAACUUAAGGGAGAACUUAUGACCAGAAGAUUGAUGGCAUUUGAAUCACCGGCAUCACUUCCGAUGUCUGUUUGACUGGACCCACCUCUGAUCAGUCAGAACCAGACUCCCGUCUGAAAAGAUGUUUAAUCACAUUUUGUUUACCUUUUUGAAAUUCAGUUGCUCACCCAUACCCCAACACUCUUUAUUGUGUCUUACAUUGUCUAAUUAAAAGCAGAACUUGGCUUCUUACAUUUGAGAUUGAACACAGACCCCUAUAUAUUGUGAGCCGGGGGGCUGAUUGCACCCUCAGAGAAUACAGAUGUUCCUGGGAAAACCCCUUAAAAACGUUGACAGACUACCUUCACAUUGCUCUUUACCUUAUUUGU